rfam:Brachypodium distachyon strain Bd21 chromosome 1, whole genome shotgun sequence.
AAACUACUCCCUCCGAUCCAUAUUAAUUGUCUCAAAUUUGCCCAAAUAUGGAUGUAUCUAUGCCUAAAAAACGUCUAGAUACAUGUAAUAUUGCAACAAUUAAUAUGGAUCGGAGGGAGUACUUA